UUGAUGGAGUGCGCAUGUGCAGAGGGUGCGUGGUCUCUGUGGUAUGUAGCAGUUAAUGGAGGAGUGGGUAUGAGGACUAAAAGUAGAUCUUUUCUUCCCCUAGCGUGCAAAGUGGCUGGUUGAUACUUUGUUCUGGUUACAGGCUGUCCACCUUAUGUCAGCUGUGGAUCCUUUCGUGUCUGUCUUUCCUGCAUAAUCUUUUGUGAGUUGUGAGCAGCGGUAAAACUUGUGCUUAUAAUAAUCCGCUUUUUGUGCGUUGACGUCUAUCCGAUGCCGCGCGUCUAGUUACGAGAAUGCGGAAGUGUUUACACGGCGUUUAAAAGGACGGCGCUGCUGUUUUUCUCCUUUCUCUUUGGGACUUUCUUUUCGUUUUCUUUUUAUUUAUUUUCCUUUUUGUGGCACUGUCGGUCCCUGAGGCUGGGAGGCUAGCUAGCUUCGAGUAUUGGUGGUGGUAUAAUCGCGUGGAGUGCAGUGCUGCUUGGAUUCACCCUUCACAGAGUGUGUGUGUGUGUGUGUGUGUGUGGGAUGCACGAGUGCACCAUUAGGAUCCUCACUUCACCUAGCCUUCCCUUGCCGUUGGAAAGCCUGUGCUGUAUCUUUUUUUUUUCUUUUGUUUCUUUGAGUAUUCUAAAUGUCUUUAUUUGUAGGAAACAGAGCUCCCUUGUUGUGACAAGGUGAUAUUGAAUUGAUACUGAUUGACCUUGAGACUUUUAACUAUUUAUUGUGAAUAUCUAAAAUAAAGUUCUGUACAUUGUU